rnacentral:rRNA from 1 species
GACGAACGCUGGCGGCGUGCUUAACACAUGCAAGUCGAACGGUGAACUCCGCUUGCGGGGGGAUCAGUGGCGAACGGGUGAGUAACACGUGGGCAACCUGCCCUCAGCUCUGGGAUAGCUCCAAGAAAUUGGGGCUAAUACCGGAUAUGACCGCUGACCGCAUGGUCUGGGGGUGGAAAGAUUUAUCGGCUGGGGAUGGGCCCGCGGCCUAUCAGCUUGUUGGUGGGGUAGUGGCCUACCAAGGCGACGACGGGUAGCCGGCCUGAGAGGGUGACCGGCCACACGGGGACUGAGACACGGCCAAGACUCCUACGGGAGGCAGCAGUGGGGAAUAUUGCGCAAUGGGCGAAAGCCGGACGCAGCGACGCCGCGUGGGGGAUGACGGCCUUCGGGUGGUAAACCUCUUUCAGCAGGGACGAAGCGAAAGUGACGGUACCUGCAGAAGAAGCACCGGCCAACUACGU